rnacentral:rRNA from 1 species
UGCCAGCCGCCGCGGUAAUACGGAGGGUGCAAGCGUUGUUCGGAAUUAUUGGGCGUAAAGCGCGUGUAGGCGGUUCGUUAAGUCUGAUGUGAAAGCCCGGGGCUCAACCUGGGAACUGCAUCUGAUACUGCUUGACUAGAGUAUGGUAGAGGGGUGUGGAAUUUCCUGUGUAGCGGUGAAAUGCGUAGAUAUAGGAAGGAACACCAGUGGCGAAGGCGACACCCUGGACCAAUACUGACACUGAGGUGCGAAAGCGUGGGGAGCAAACAGGAUUAGAUA